GCCUGGGUGGCUCAGUAGGUUGAGCUUCUGAUUUCAGCUCAGACCAUGAUUGCAGGGUUCAUGGGUUCGAGCCCCAUGUCAGGCU
rnacentral:tRNA from 1 species